AAUGAACGUUGGCGGCGUGGAUUAGGCAUGCAAGUCGCGCGAGAAGUUUCCUUCGGGAGACGGACAGCGGCGGAAGGGAGAGGAAUAAGUAGAAAUCUGCCCUCGGGACGGGGAUAGCGGCGGGAAACUGCUGGUAAUACCCGAUAACAUCUUUGGAUCAAAUGGUGUGAUUCCGCCUGAGGAUGAGUCUACUUCCUAUUAGCUAGUUGGUGUGGUAAUGGCUCACCAAGGCAACGAUGGGUAGCGGGUGUGAGAGCACGAUCCGCCUCAACUGGGACUGAGACACUGCCCAGACACCUAGGGUGGCUGCAGUCGAGAAUCUUGGCAAAUGGGGGAAACCCCUGACCGAGCGACGCCGCGUGCGGGAUGAAGGCCCUCGGGUUGUAAACCGCUGUCGUAAGGGAACAAAUCUAAGAGGGUACUCCCUUUUAGUUGAGUGAU
rnacentral:rRNA from 1 species